rnacentral:rRNA from 1 species
UACGUAGGGGGCAAGCGUUGUUCGGAAUUACUGGGCGUAAAGGGCGCGUAGGCGGCACAGCAAGUCGGGUGUGAAAGCCCGGGGCUCAACCCCGGAACUGCUUUCGAAACUGCUGAGCUAGAGUGCGGAAGGGGCGACCGGAAUUCCCAGUGUAGCGGUGAAAUGCGUAGAUAUCAGGAGGAACACCGGUGGCGAAGGCGGUUCUCUGGGCAUUACCUGACGCUGAGGAGCGAAAGUGUGGGGAGCGAACAGG